CACCCAGAGAAUCUCUCUGCACCACGUAUUCCAGCUGGAGGUGGCGUCAGCAAUUCUGGACUGCUUUUUCUAUCUUUUCAGUGCCUCAUUCAGUGAUGUCAAGUUAAAACCAGAAACGAUGGGUGUUCACCAGAUUUUUGGUUCUUAUGAAGGGACAUGGAUGGAGCUGGAAACACUUAUGCUCAGCAAACUAAUGCAGGAACAGAAAACCAAGAACCACAUAUUCUCACUUAUAAGUGGGAGCUAAACAAUGAGAAAACAUGGACACAUGUGGGGGAACAAAACAUACCGGGGCCUGUUGCAGAAGCAGGCAGGGUGAGGGAGAGCAUCGGGAAGAACAGCUAAUGGAUGCUGGGCUUAAUACCUAGGUGAUGGGUUGAUCUGUGCAGCACAUCACCGUGGCACAUGUUUACCUAUGUCACAAACCUGCACAUCCUGCACCUGUACCCCUGAACUUAAAAGUUGAAGAAGAAAAAAUAAAUUUGCAUAUAGUAAUUUUUAGGAUACACUGUUAGGGUCAAUACAUUUCAUACGGUUUUAACGUAUGGCUCAUCUUACCCUACAAGGAAUAUUGGAAAAUUGUCUGGGGGCAAAAGAGCCUGACCUUUGUGCUGUCAUGUUGACAAGUCUUGUGAGGAAAGCGGCCCUGGAAAGGCACGUGCCUCUGUGCAAAUUACUUUCCAGCAGAGGUAAUUCCCAUAGAGGCUAAUAGUUAAAGGCUUUGUGCCAAGCCUCACUCCA
ensembl:lncRNA novel transcript